rnacentral:misc_RNA from 1 species
GAUGAAGAACGUAGCGAAAUGCGAUAAGUAAUGUGAAUUGCAGAAUUCAGUGAAUCAUCGAAUCUUUGAACGCAUCUUGCGCUCCUUGGUAUUCUGAGGAGCAUGCCUGUUUGAGUGUCAUUAAAUUCUCAACUACACUGACUUUGAAUUGGUGUGGCUUGGAUUUGGGGGGAAAAUUGUUGUGGGCUUUUUGUAUAGUCUGCUCCCCUGAAAUUGAUUAGCGGUACCUUUGUGGAACUGUCUACAGGUGUGAUAAUUAUCUACAUCUUAGACAUCUGCUGGAAUGCUGCUCUCUAAACCUUACUUGUAUUGACAAUCUUGACCUCAAAUCAGGUAGGAAUACCCGCUGAACUUAAGCAUAUCAAUAAGCGGAGGA